rnacentral:rRNA from 1 species
AUGAAGCUCCUGGUGGACACCCAGGCCCGGCGCGUGCUGUUCGCGGAGGCGAGCAAGGACGUGGUGGACUUCCUCUUCUCCCUCCUCGCGCUGCCCGUCGGCACCGCCGUCAAGCUGCUGGGGAAGGAGUCCAUGGUCGGCUGCGUCGGCAGCCUCUACGGCAGCGUGGAGAAGCUCGACGGCACCUACGUCCAGCCCGGCGCCGCCAAGGACGCGCUGCUCCACCCCUCUGUCCUCUCGCCGGCGGUAAGUAGCAAGAGCUCCCUCCUAGGCUUGCCGGCGCCGCCGUCCCCACAGGCGAAGACGUUCUACAGAUGCAGCAAGCAGUGCAUCUGCUACAGCGGCGGAUAUGGCAGCAGCCAGCAGGCUAGAUGCAACAGCUGCCGGACUUACAUGACGGAGAGUUGCGGUACCUACUGUCCGUCAUGUAACAACCAGAUGACCACGCCCUUGACGGUCGUGCCGUCGGCCGGGUCCGAAGGUCCGGUGGCGGAGACGGCGGUGGGCAUGAGCGGGAAGGGGUUCGCGCAGGGCAUCGUGACGUACACGGUGAUGGACGAUCUCACCGUGACGCCCAUGUCCUCCAUCUCCAGCAUCACCCUGCUCAACACAUUCGCCGUCAGGGACCUCAGCGCGCUCCAGGAGAAGACCGUGUCCAGCUCGGCUAUGACCAGGGUCUGGAGAUUCUGA